rnacentral:rRNA from 1 species
GAUGAACGCUAGCGGUGUGCUUAAAGCAUGCAAGUCGAACGUGAUCCUUGGAUUCGUUCAAGGUGAAAGUGGCGAACGGGUGAGUAACGCGUUGGUGAUCUGCCCCGGAGUGGGGGAUAACUAUCGGAAACGAUAGCUAAUACCCCAGAUGUUAUCGUGUUUGGAAAGCGAUAACUGAAGUUCAGGCGCUCCGGGAGGAGCCUGCGUCCCAUCAGCUAGUUGGUAGGGUAAUGGCCUACCAAGGCUCAGACGGGUAGGGGGCGUGAGAGCGUGACCCCCCACACUGGUACUGACACACGGACCAGAUGCCUACGGGUAGCAGCAGCUAGGAAUAUUGGGCAAUGGGCGAAAGCCUGACCCAGCAACACCGCGUGAAGGACGACGGCCUUC